UAAGACGAAGGAUCCAAGCGUUAUCCGGAUUUAUUGGGUUUAAAGGGUGCGUAGGCGGAUUGAUAAGUCAGUGGUGAAAGCCUGCAGCUUAACUGCAGAACUGCCAUUGAUACUGUCAAUCUUGAAUAUGUUUGAUGUGGGCGGAAUAUGACAUGUAGCGGUGAAAUGCUUAGAUAUGUCAUAGAACACCGAUUGCGAAGGCAGCUCACAAAGCCAUUAUUGACGCUGAGGCACGAAAGCGUGGGGAUCAAACAGGAUUAGAUACCCUGGUAGUCCACGCUGUAAACUUUGAUCACUCGCUGUUGGCGAUACACUGUCAGCGGCUAAGCGAAAGCGUUAAGUGAUCCACCUGGGGAGUACGAUCGCAAGAUUG
rnacentral:rRNA from 1 species